GGACGGUAGCAAUACCGUUGCUGGCGACCGGCAAACGGGUGCGGAACACGUACACAACCUUCCUUUAAGUGGGGGAUAGCCCGGGGAAACCCGGAUUAAUACCCCGUAAUAUAUAGAAGUGGCAUCACUUUUAUAUUAUAGCUCCGGCGCUUAGAGAUGGGUGUGCGGCUGAUUAGAUAGUUGGCGGGGUAACGGCCCACCAAGUCGACGAUCAGUAACUGGUGUGAGAGCACGACCAGUCACACGGGCACUGAGACACGGGCCCGACUCCUACGGGAGGCAGCAGUAAGGAAUAUUGGUCAAUGGACGCAAGUCUGAACCAGCCAUGCCGCGUGGAGGAUGAAGGUCCUCUGGAUUGUAAACUUCUUUUAUUUGGGAAGAAAUCUAUCUUUUCUUGGAUAGUUGACGGUACCAGAUGAAUAAGCACCGGCUAACUCCGUGCCAGCAGCCGCGGUAAUACGGAGGGUGCAAGCGUUAUCCGGAUUCACUGGGUUUAAAGGGUGCGUAGGUGGGCAGGUAAGUCAGUGGUGAAAUCUCCGGGCUUAACCCGGAAACUGCCAUUGAUACUAUCUGUCUUGAAUACCCUGGAGGUGAGCGGAAUAUGUCAUGUAGCGGUGAAAUGCUUAGAUAUGACAUAGAACACCCAUUGCGAAGGCAGCUCACUACGGGAAUAUUGACACUGAGGCACGAAAGCGUGGGGAUCAAACAGGAUUAGAUACCCUGGUAGUCCACGCCCUAAACGAUGGAUACUCGACAUCAGCGAUAAACUGUUGGUGUCUGAGCAAAAGCAUUAAGUAUCCCACCUGGG
rnacentral:rRNA from 1 species